GUAGUCCACGCCGUAAACGAUGGAUACUAGCUGUUGGAGGUAUCGACCCCUUCAGUAGCGAAGCUAACGCGUUAAGUAUCCCGCCUGUGGAGUACGGUCGCAAGACUAAAACAUAAAGGAAUUGACGGGGAGCCGCACAAGCGGUGGAUUAUGUUCUUUAAUUCGAUGAUAACCGAUGAACCUUACCAGGGUUUGACAUCCUUGGAAUUUUGCCGAAAGGCGAGAGUGCUUUAUUGAACCAAGUGACAGAUGAUGCAUGGCCGUCGUCAGCUCGUGUCGUGAGAUGUUUGGUUAAGUCCAUUAACGAGCGCAACCCUUGUGAUUAGUUGUAUUUUUCUAAUCAGACUGCCCUGGCAACGGGGA
rnacentral:rRNA from 1 species